rnacentral:lncRNA from 1 species
CUUGACCAGUCAGCGGAGCCUAAUGCUACUUUCUCUGUUCAACACAGCAAUCUGGGUGGGAGCAGGCGACCCAGCAAGACCCUGGCCGACCUGGCCCAGCCCAGCACACUCUGCACCGCCUGGUUGGCCUUCGCUGGCAGCACAUCUGGGCUACUGAAUCUAGGACAGCUGAGUCUAUCCCCAGCAGCUGUUUGUCUAUUUCCUUCGUGUCUGGUACUUCCAGAUGCCUCGAGAGAGGGCGGACGUGUCCACUCCUGUGUACAGAGAGAAGGGCCACCGGACAUCUGGGCCUCCCUGCAGUAAAUCGUUCAAGGGCGUGUGAACGCUACCCCCAAGGGCUGCUUUGUCACAAAAUCAGUGCCAGUAAGAAAGGAGCUGUGCUACCUGUGAGUCCCAGAGCAUUAGCAUGGAAAUGUUUAUAAUCACCGAGCUGCUAAGUCACCGUUGAGUUCCUGAGCACCUACCAAGUCCAAGGCAGUGCGAACAAUAGCCGUCAUUGAGUCCCACUCAUCUAUUUCAUUUUUUAAAGGUAUUUAUUUAUUUAUUUAUUUUCCUCCUGUGCAUGAAUGGUGGGGGAUGGGAGGGGGAGAGCAGAGGGCGAGGAGCAGAGGCAGAGGGAGAGGGAAAGGGAGAAAGAAAGGGAGAGAAUCUGGGGUGUGUGGGUGGCUCAGUUGUUCAACCGUCUGCCUUCGGCUCAGGUCAUGAUCCC